ACCUGGCUGGCUCAGCUGGUAGAGCAGGUGACUCCUGAUCUCAGGGUCGUGAGUUCAAGCCCCACAUUAGGCA
rnacentral:tRNA from 1 species